UACGUAGGGGGCGAGCGUUGUCCGGCUUUAUUGGGCGUAAAGAGCGUGUAGGCGGCCGAGCAGGUCCGUUGUGAAAACUGAAGGCUCGACCUUCAGAGGUCGAUGGAAACCGUUCGGCUAGAGUCCGGAAGAGGAGAGUGGAAUUCCUGGUGUAGCGGUGAAAUGCGCAGAUAUCAGGAAGAACACCCGUGGCGAAAGCGGCUCUCUGGGACGGUACUGACGCUGAGACGCGAAAGCGUGUGGAGCGAACAGG
rnacentral:rRNA from 1 species